rnacentral:piRNA from 1 species
UAAAAGGACGACAAUCGAACGCU